rnacentral:tRNA from 1 species
GUGCCCUUCGUCUAGCGGUUAGGACGCUGCCCUUUCACGGCGGUAACACGGGUUCGAGUCCCGUAGGGCAUGCCA